GCUCUUCGGAGUUAGUGGCGGACGGGUGAGUAACGCGUGAGAAUCUGGCUUCAGGUUCGGGACAACAGUUGGAAACGGCUGCUAAUACCGGAUGUGCCCUUGGGUGAAAGAUUUAUCACCUGAAGAUGAGCUCGCGUCUGAUUAGCUAGUAGGUGUGGUAAGAGCGCACCUAGGCGACGAUCAGUAGCUGGUCUGAGAGGAUGAUCAGCCACACUGGGACUGAGACACGGCCCAGACUCCUACGGGAGGCAGCAGUGGGGAAUUUUCCGCAAUGGGCGAAAGCCUGACGGAGCAAUACCGCGUGAGGGAGGAAGGCUCUUGGGUUGUAAACCUCUUUUCUCAGGGAAGAAUGAUGACGGUACCUGAGGAAUAAGCAUCGGCUAACUCCGUGCCAGCAGCCGCGGUAAUACGGAGGAUGCAAGCGUUAUCCGGAAUGAUUGGGCGUAAAGCGUCCGCAGGUGGCAAUGUAAGUCUGCUGUCAAAGCGUCUGGCUCAACCAGAUAAAGGCAGUGGAAACUACAUAGCUAGAGUAAGGUAGGGGUAGAGGGAAUUCCUGGUGUAGCGGUGAAAUGCGUAGAGAUCAGGAAGAACACCGGUGGCGAAAGCGCUCUGCUGGACCUUAACUGACACUGAGGGACGAAAGCUAGGGGAGCGAAUGGGAUUAGAUACCCCAGUAGUCCUAGCCGUAAACGAUGGAUACUAGGCGUUGCCCGUAUCGACCCGGGCAGUGUCGUAGCUAACGCGUUAAGUAUCCCGCCUGGGGAGUACGCAGGCAACUGUGAAACUCAAAGGAAUUGACGGGGGCCCGCACAAGCGGUGGAGUAUGUGGUUUAAUUCGAUGCAACGCGAAGAACCUUACCAGGGCUUGACAUGUCCGGAAUCCUCUUGAAAGGGAGGAGUGCCUUCGGGAGCCGGAACACAGGUGGUGCAUGGCUGUCGUCAGCUCGUGUCGUGAGAUGUUGGGUUAAGUCCCGCAACGAGCGCAACCCUCGUUCUUAGUUGCCAUCAUUAAGUUGGGAACUCUAAGGAGACUGCCGGUGACAAACCGGAGGAAGGUGGGGAUGACGUCAAGUCAGCAUGCCCCUUACGCCCUGGGCUACACACGUACUACAAUGCUAUGGACAAAGGGCAGCAAGCCAGCGAUGGCAAGCAAAUCUCGGAAACCAUGGCUCAGUUCAGAUCGCAGGCUGCAACUCGCCUGCGUGAAGUCGGAAUCGCUAGUAAUUGCAGGUCAGCAUACUGCAGUGAAUUCGUUCCCGGGCCUUGUACACACCGCCCGUCACACCAUGGAAGCUGGUCACGCCCGAAGUCGUUACCCUAACCUUUCGAGGAGGGGGACGCCGAAGGUAGGACUGGUGACUGGGGUGAAGUCGUAACAAGGUAGCCGUACCGGAAGGUGUGGCUGGAUCACCUCCUU
rnacentral:rRNA from 1 species